rnacentral:rRNA from 1 species
GUAACACAUAGUGGAGGACCGAACCAGUUGACGUUGAAAAGUCUUUGGAUGACCUGUGGGUAGGGGUGAAAGGCCAAUCAAACUCGGAAAUAGCUCGUACUCCCCGAAAUGCAUUUAGGUGCAGCGUGUAGAUAGUUUUAUAGAGGUAGAGCUACUGAUUGGAUGCGGGGGCUUCACCGCCUACCAAUUCCUGACAAACUCCGAAUGCUAUAAAACGUUUCUGCGCAGUGAGGGCAUGGGUGCUAAGGUCCAUGUCCGAGAGGGAAAGAACCCAGAUCACCGGCUAAGGUCCCAAAGUAUAUACUAAGUUGAUAUAACGCGGUGGAAUUGCAUUGACAGCCAGGAUGUUGGCUUGGAAGCAGCCAUUCAUUUAAAGAGUGCGUAACAGCUCACUGGUCGAGCGAUUCCGCAUGGAUAAUAAUCGGGCAUAAGUAUAUCACCGAAGCUGUGACUUCUAUUUAUAGAGGGGUAGGGGAGCAUUGUAGUGCCGUUGAAGGUGUACCUGCGAGGGAUGCUGGAGGAGCUACAAACGAAAAUGUAGGCAUAAGUAACGAUAAUGCGGGCGAGAAACCCGCACGCCGAAAGACCAAGGUUUCCCCAGCUAUGCUAAUCAGCUGGGGGUCAGUCGGGACCUAACGCGAACCCGAAAGGGGUAGUGGAUGGACAACAGAUUAAUAUUUCUGUACCUGCUCACGCUAAAAGUGACGGAGGCGAGGAGUUGGUGCGUACAGACGGAAUUGUACGUUGAAGGGAGUGGUAACACCCCGAUAGUACACCGAGACUACGGUCAAGGUGAUAAUCCAGCAUAUCGACUUCCAAGAAAAGCGAGUGAAGCAGCCCGUACCGUAAACCGACACAGGUGGUUGGGAUGAGUAUUCUAAGGCGCUCGAGAGAUUCAUGGCUAAGGAACUAGGCAAAAUAGACCCGUAACUUCGGGAGAAGGGUCGCCCCCUUAUGGGGGGCCGCAGUGAAGAGGUCCAGGCGACUGUUUAUCAAAAACACAGGGCUCUGCAAAAUCGAAAGAUGAAGUAUAGGGCCUGACACCUGCCCGGUGCUGGAAGGUUAAGAGGAGAUGUCAUGACUUCGGUCAGAAGCAUUGAAUUGAAGCCCCAGUAAACGGCGGCCGUAACUAUAACGGUCCUAAGGUAGCGAAAUUCCUUGUCGGGUAAGUUCCGACCUGCACGAAUGGUGCAACGAUCUGGACACUGUCUCGGCCAUGAGCUCGGUGAAAUUGUAGUAUCGGUGAAGAUGCCGGUUACCCGCAGUGGGACGAAAAGACCCCGUGCACCUUUACUAUAGCUUCGUAUUGACCUUGGUCAAGCAAUGUGUAGGAUAGCUGGGAGACUUUGAAGCUGCAUCGCUAGGUGUGGUGGAGUCAUUGUUGAAAUACCAGCCUUUGCUUGUCCGAGGCCUAACUCUCUUCUGAGAGAACAGUGCGUGGUGGGUAGUUUGACUGGGGUGGUCGCUUCCAAAAGAGUAACGGAGGCUUCUAAAGUGGCCCCCAAUA